GAUGAACGCUGGCGGCGUGCCUAAUACAUGCAAGUCGAGCGAACAGACGAGGAGCUUGCUCCUCUGACGUUAGCGGCGGACGGGUGAGUAACACGUGGAUAACCUACCUAUAAGACUGGGAUAACUUCGGGAAACCGGAGCUAAUACCGGAUAAUAUAUUGAACCGCAUGGUUCAAUAGUGAAAGACGGUUUUGCUGUCACUUAUAGAUGGAUCCGCGCCGCAUUAGCUAGUUGGUAAGGUAACGGCUUACCAAGGCAACGAUGCGUAGCCGACCUGAGAGGGUGAUCGGCCACACUGGAACUGAGACACGGUCCAGACUCCUACGGGAGGCAGCAGUAGGGAAUCUUCCGCAAGGGGCGAAAGCCUGACGGAGCAACGCCGCGUGAGUGAUGAAGGUCUUCGGAUCGUAAAACUCUGUUAUUAGGAAAGAACAAAUGUGCAAGUAACUAUGCACGUCUUGACGGUACCUAAUCAGAAAGCCACGGCUAACUACG
rnacentral:rRNA from 1 species